AUUGAACGCUGGCGGCAUGCUUUACACAUGCAAGUCGAACGGCAGCGCGGGCUUCGGCCUGGCGGCGAGUUGCGAACGGGUGAGUAAUACAUCGGAACGUGCCCAGUAGUGGGGGAUAGCUCGGCGAAAGCCGGAUUAAUACCGCAUACGACCUGAGGGUGAAAGCGGGGGAUCUUCGGACCUCGCGCCAUUGGAGCGGUCGAUGGCAGAUUAGCUAGUUGGUGGGGUAAAGGCCUACCAAGGCGACGAUCUGUAGCUGGUCUGAGAGGACGACCAGCCACACUGGGACUGAGACACGGCCCAGACUCCUACGGGAGGCAGCAGUGGGGAAUUUUGGACAAUGGGCGAAAGCCUGAUCCAGCAAUGCCGCGUGUGUGAUGAAGGCCUUCGGGUUGUAAAGCACUUUUGGCGGGAAAGAAAAGGACUGUGACAAUACCACGGUUCGAUGACGGUACCCGCAGAAUAAGCACCGGCUAACUACGUG
rnacentral:rRNA from 1 species